rnacentral:rRNA from 1 species
AUGGAGGAUGCCAUUGACAACUUCAUGCAAAGCGUAGGAGACAAAGAUGAAAAGCCAGAUGGCUUAAUUGACAAGAUAAAAAAUGCGCUAGGGAAGUUGGGGAAGAUGAAGGCUCGGCGUCGGAUUGGCAAGGAGAUCCAAGAUCUCAAGAAACAAAUCAAAGAGGUGAGUGAGAGGAAUGCAAGGUACAAGAGUCGCGAGGCCUUCUCCAAGACCGUCAAUGCGACCGUUGACCCUAGAGCUCUUGCUAUAUUUGAGCAUGCAUGGAAGCUUGCUGGAAUUGAUGAACCCAAGGCUGAGAUAAUCAAAUUGUUGAUGGACGAUGAUGGGUGUGCGACAACACAACAACAACCAAAGAUAGUCUCCAUCACUAGACCGGGAGGAAUGGGCAAAACAACUCUUGCGAACCAAGUGUAUCAAGAGAUCAAAGGGCAGUUUGAGUGUUGGGCCUUCCUAUCCGUGUCGCGAAGCCCAGACAUGAUGAAUAUCCUGAGGACUAUUCUUAGUGAAGUUAGCAGUGAUCGUUAUUCUAACACGGAAGCAGGGAGUGUACAAAUACUCAUUAGCAAGAUCAAUGACUUCCUACUAGAUAAAAGGUACUUUGUUGUUGAUGAUGAUAUAUGGGACGUGGAUACAUGGGAUAUUAUUAAGUGUGCAUUCCCCGCAACAAGUAAUACCAGUAGAAUAAUCACUACUGCUCGUAUAAACAAUGUCGCUCAUUCAUGUUUAUCAUCAUUCAAUGGUCGUAUUUACAAUAUAAGGGCUCUCAGUAUGGUGCACUCAAGACAGUUAUUUCAUAGAAGGCUAUUCAAGUCUGAUGAAGAUUGCCCUUCAUACCUUCAAGAAAUUUCUGAGCAGAUAUUGGAAAAAUGCCAUGGGUUACCUUUGGCGAUCAUUGCUAUAUCUGGUUUGUUAGCUAAUAUAGAAAAAACAGAAGAUCUAUGGAAUCAAGUGAAAGAUUCAAUUGGUCGUGCACUUGAAAGAAAUCCUAAUGUCGAAGGAAUGAUGAAGAUAUUGUCACUUAGUUACUUUGAUCUGCCUCUUUACCUAAAAACAUGUCUCUUAUAUCUGAGUGUAUAUUUAGAAGAUUCUACUAUUAAGAAGAAGGGCUUGAUAAGAAGAUGGAUUGCUGAACGAUUCAUUCAUAGAGAAGGUAGAUACACGGCAUAUGAGUUAGGAGAAAGGUGUUUUAGUGAACUACUCAAUAGGGGUUUGAUCCAACCUGGGGAGAUAGAUGUCUAUGGCGAGGUGAAUAGUUGUCAAGUUCACGACACAAUUCUUGAUUUUAUCAUAUCCAAGUCUAUAGAAGAGAAUUUUGUUACUUUUCGUGGUCUUCCCCUUAUGACAAUUGGGAAACAAAGCAAAGUUGUUCGUCAACUCUGUCUACAUGGUGUAAAGGAAGGAAAUUCAACAGUAUUGACAGCGGGUCUCGUGUUUUCCCAUCUCCGAUCACUUACUAUGGUUAGAGGUCUGUUGGAAAUCCCUUCUUUGGAAGAGUUCAGACAUCUGCGUGUUCUCGACUUGAUGGCUUGCUCCAAAUUGGAAGACCAUCAUCUUGAAAAUAUAGUGAGGUUGUUCCAGCUGAGGUACCUGAACCUCCAAGGUACAAGAAUAAGCAAGCUCCCAGAACAAAUUGGGCGUUUAGGAUGCUUAGAAGUGCUGGACCUAAGAGGGACUUCUGUAAAAGAAUUACCUGCAUGUAUUGUGAAUCUCAGAAAAUUGAUGCAUCUACUUGGUAAUGAUGAUGCAAAAUUUCCUGAUGGGAUUGUGAAGAUGCAAGCACUAGAGAUGUUGGAAUAUGUCAAUGCCUCCAUUCAGCCAUUUGACUUCCUGCGCGGCCUUGGACAACUAAAGAAUUUGAGGAAUCUACAACUUGACCUUGAUUUCGAAUUUGAUGCUGUUACCGAGGAUACAAAUAUGGUUGGGGAGGAGCACACCAAAGCUAUUGUCACCUCCCUAUGUAAACUAGGCACCCAGAAUCUCCGCUCCCUGACUAUUUAUGGAGGGAGCAACCUUUUACAUAAGGAAUCUUUGUGCCUACCUACCCUCGAGGACCUUUGUAUCUAUUUUUCGGCCUUCCCACAGGUUCCGACAUGGCUGGGCUCCUUCAGAAAACUCCAACGGCUACGCCUUGGUAUGAAGGGGCUCAAGCAGGACGGCCUCUGCACCCUUGGGGCUUUACCCAGUCUGCUCGUUCUGUAUCUGGUGGAACAAACAGCGUCAAACGGAAAGCUCAGAUUCAGUGGUGAGGUUGGGUUCCCAUUCUUGAAGAUUUUUAUUUAUGAUGCAUGUUCUAAACCAGUAGAUCUGAUGUUUGGGGCAGGGUCCAUGCCAAAGCUGGAAAAACUCGAGCUUAAUUGUUUUUGGAUAGUUGAAGCUAACUCUCUGGGGUUUGGAAUCGAGAACCUCCCUUGCCUCACUAGUGUUAAAUGCAUUGAGUUUGCUGGUGAUGAUGGCGUAGUUGAAGCCAUGAAGACUGUCAUGGAGAGAGGAGCCAGCACACAUCCCAACCACCCUAGCCUACUCUUUGAGAGACUUUGA